ACUUCAUGCCUAAGCAAAACUUAAAGUGGUUAUGUGAUCAGCUUUGAAAUCUUCUUGUUGGUCAUUGUAGGUCAAGAGAAGACAGUAGAUGCAAAAGAUCUGUUUUCUUUACCACUCACCAGACUGAAAAUAAUGCCUGGGAGAAGCCUGAGGCUGGAGAGGAUUCUUCGAAGAAAAGAGACCUGAGAAAGGGUACUUCAUAUCCAACCCAACUAUACACUUUGUCCAAUGAAAGAUAACAUCCACAAAAAUACUCACCUCUUGCACUUUUUCCUGGACCAUCUACAACACCACCCCAAGGCUGUAUUUAAUUCUUAUUCUGGUCUACUCCUUCAGCUCUCGAAUUGUUUUUGGCAUUUUAAAUGCCCUGCCCCCUUGUUUUCAAAUGCAAUACUUAUAUAAGUUUUCCUGUAAAAACCUGUUUGCCAGUAUAAUGUAAGAGGUUUGCCUUUUCAGUGGCUGGCCACUAUGUUUAACAUGAGCUGUGAGGGGUAUUUUGGAUAUGACCCGAAGGUGUUUGCAGCUGGCAAACAUGUAGGAAAGCAGAGUUCAGUUAAGGACAACAUUCAGGCAUAGAAAUACAGUCUCAGGCUAUUUGUUUUAACUAGGAAUCUGCCUCAUUUUCAGUUGUUUGCUUUCAUAUUUGCUUGUUGGGUCCAGGCAAUAGAAUCCAGUGUCUUUCAUAACUUUCAGUAGGUAGAAAAAUCAAUAUUUAAUCACAACAUUUUUCAGGAACAAUCACAGUUUUUUAGUGAAAAAUUGGGAAGAUUUGAGAUACUAAAAGGAAAUGUUCCUGUCUGAUUUUUGCUGGUCUCGGGGUAUAGGCAAGCAUAACAAUUGUUUUGAAAUCAAAAGAGAGUGAUAUUAAGCUCUAACAGUGUAGCUUAUGUCUUCAUAAUUUUGUAGCCAUACAAGUGUAGCAGAACCAUUUCAGCUUUAACCUUAUUUCAUUCAGGGUCAAAGUUAGGGAAGUUAAACUAAUUUGUAUCACAAUACUAGUAUGCAGAUAUAAGUAGGGACCUACUUAAUUUGUGGCUUUGCAGUAUUUGUGGAAAUUGCAAAAUCCGAGAUUGUCUGAGAAAUUGGAAAAAGCACGCCCCCCCUCCAAAAAAGGUAACAAAAAUAAGUCCUUCCUGGGAGUGGGAGGUACUGGCUGGCUGGGUGGCAUGAAGGGCAGCAGACAAGAUGGCAGCUGCCCCUUGUACCUCCUCCUCCUGCCGGGACCUCUCUGCUAAUCAGCACUGGGGGGCAAGGUUGAGAGAAGGGCAGCAAGCAGUCAAGAUGGUGGCUGCUUGCUCAUUCCCUCCUCCUCCCCACUCAGGGCCUCUCCGCCAAUUAACACUGAGGGGUGGGGCUCCCACCAAAUGACUGUGGAAUUAGAGCUUUAGGCCGCAACCAGCCUGUGAAAAUUGCUUGAGGAACCUAGAACUGAAAUACUUACAAUAUGGCUUCUCAGUGGAUCAGAAAGUGAUCCAGAAAGAAUGAAACACUUGCAG